GCGACCCGCAGUCCCAGCAUUGUGGACUUGUUUGGAUCCAUAAGCAGGCAUUUCUACAGCCAGCCCUGAGGGACCUGACAAACCAGUUAUCAGGCAUCUGUAAGGCCACCUACGGACCACCUAUGGACCACUUCAAAUCACCUGUGCAUGCUCUGUGUCGCCUUAUAAGAGAACUUGAAACCCCUCCUCUCUCUCUUUCUCUCCUGCCCUGCCCAGACAUCGUCUCUGUAACCCCUUCCCCCCACAUGAAACCAGUCGUGUGGCAUGAUUUGUGAACCCACUGUGUAACUCUUUUGCAAAUUCUAAUAUUGGUGCACUUGUCUGGGAAUAGGUGCCUCCAGCAUCCACGCUGCAUGGUGGUUUUCGGCAACUAGCUAUCUGCUGCAUUCAACACUGGCUGGAUUGGCACCAUUCCUCUGUGGUCAUUCAGCUACAGGAUCCUACCUGGCAUAUUACCCAGUUCCUGGUGAUGGAAGAAGAAGAGAUGGAACUGUUCAACUCUGCCAGCAGGUUGCUUUAAUUACUUCAAUCCUCACUCCCCACUCAGGAACUCUUCAACUCUGCCAGCAUGCUCCAGCAUCUAAGGCAAGUCUCCUCAUCAGACGCAGCUAUCAGCAGAUCAUCCACAUACUGCAAGAGAAUAAGAAUCCUGGCCAUGGACUCAAUAGCUGCCUAGCAGGAUAAGAGGGCAAUUCAGAUCUUGCCCCUUUUGUCUGUUGCAGGAAUCACAGCAGCUGUCAGGACCAGGACAGCAGGUAACUUUCACUAACUUUGUAUUAUCAGUUUUCUUCCCAGUUUAUCCAGUUCCUCUGGCAAGUGGCUCAGACAAUGCUAACCCUCCAAGGACAGAUCGACUCACUGGCAGCAGUAGAUUAUCAACCUCUGCCUACAGAACGAGAUGACAAUGAUCCUCCAAUUAACCCUGAUGGUGGGGACCAGCUAUACCCUGAGAAUGACGAUGUCCCUUAUCAGCAGGAAGUAGCUAGAAGAGCAGAAGU